AACUAUUAAAAUAAAAUUAUGUCUUGAAAACAUAAGCAGGAGAAAUUCUCCAAUAGUUU
rnacentral:tRNA from 1 species